rfam:Laccaria amethystina LaAM-08-1 unplaced genomic scaffold K443scaffold_362, whole genome shotgun sequence.
GGCUAACUAGCUCAGUUGGUAGAGCAUUGUGCUCAUGACACAAAGGUUGUGGGUUCGAUCCCCACGUUGGCCA